UUCCAGGAUCGCUACACCAGCAAUAAAAAAAUAACUUCGGAACAAUGAAAAUACUACGCAAACAGCAUUAGGUUUGAGAGAAAAAAAUGAAAAUAUUCACCGCAAUGAGGAGCAACAAUGGGGAGCUUGCAAGUCGUAGGCAUAGCACGAGCUCUAGUGUUAUUCACUGCAAACCCCAUCGUUUUGCUACAUUCUAAACCAACGCAAAUACACUUAGGAUUAUAUUGUAGAACAGAUAGAAUUCCCCGACAACAAACUUUUGUGGGCUUAGUAUCAUUUGAUCCAGGGGUAAGGUACGAGAGACAAUCCAUCAUGUCAUAUAUAAUGCUGGAGCAAUCAGAAUUUGAUGGUCCUGGCGCUGGAGAAGCUACGGGUGAAGGAGAAUUUGCCGGCUGUGGUUUGUUGCGGGCGUGGAUGGGUGCAAAUGAUGAUGAUAGUAGAAGUAUUAAGAUGGAAAGAGGUGACAGCUUCAUUAUUUCUAUAUUAUUUUCUUUGAAAGUGUUUGUUGUUUAUUGUUUUCUCUGUGUUGGAUUUAUUGUGGUACAAGGAACACGAGGUUUAUAUAUAUUGAUAGAAGUGAACUCAAAAAGGAAAAGAUAAGAAUUUUGUUUUUUAUUCUUUUUUUAGGGUUUGAGAUUAUUGUUAAAUAGGUGGAUGGUUUUUUAUAUCUUGAUUGUUUUUGUUUUCUGUUCGUUGAGUUUUAUCUUUCUUUCUCCUUUUUUUUGGUCAAAGUUGAGUCGAUCUUCUUAUUCUAGAUCAAAUGAUUUUGUAACGGAAGCGUAUAUCUUUGGCAAAGUUAAGUUUGAAUUUAAUUUCAAAUCUCACUUUGGUGUGUUUGUAUUUUUUUGUUUGUAAAAGUGACAAGUAUCAUUUGUUAUAUUUACUUAACUAUAAUAAUAUCUACACAACCGCGCAUGUUUUUGUUUUCACUCGAAUGAACGUAGAAAUUUUGUUUUUAUAUCAUCAGUAAUAUAUGUCCUUGCAAGAACAGUUCAUUACAGCAGUGUUUCAAGCAAUGGGACUGCCUAGCCAGUUCAUUCAUUGGAUUUACCUCUGCAUAUCUACAGCUUCCUUUUCGGUUGCAAUAAACGGGGAGUUGGAAGGGUUCUUCACAAACGUCCGUAGGAUCAGACAAGGGUGCUCACUCUCUCCCUAUAUUUGUGUAAUAGUCAACAACGUCCUCUCUAGUAGGCUAAAUUAGGCGGCAGCAGAUGAUAUUAUUGGCUAUCAUCUGCAGUGUCAUUUGGUCGAGCCCACUCACCCCAGCUUUGUCGACGAUAUAUUGGUCUUCACUGAUGGUAGUGUGAGGUCUCUUGAUGGGUGCUUGCGGCAAUGGAUCUUUUUGCAACUCCAUUAGGUUUACAGAUAAAUGUUGCAAAGUCGUCAACAUUUUCUGCUGGAAAGAAUCAACUUCUGUUAACUCAAGCUGCUCAAAACCGUGGGUUUGUGACAGGAACCUUACCUGUGAGAUAUCUUGGUAUUCUGCUUACGACUAAGGCCUGGAGCAAGCUAGAUUAUGAGCAUCUCAUUGACAAGAUUCACAACAAGUUCCUCUCAUGGACCCAUCGAGCUUUAUCAUAUGCAUGGUGACUUCAGUUGAUCAUGUCAGUGAUCAUGAGUACUGUCAACUUUUGGAGCUCAGCCUUUAUACUGCGAUAGGGCUGCCUCAACACCAUCGAAAGCAUGUGCAGUACCUUCUUGUAGUAUGGUUCACCAACCAUUACUCACAAACCCAAAUUUGCGUGGUCAGAUCUCUGCUAUUCCAAGGAGGAAGGCGGUCUGGGCAUCAAGCGUUUCUGUGAUACAUCUAGAGUCUUUGCGCUAAGUCUUAUUUCUAAGCUAUUUUCCCUAACGGGUUCCCUUUGGGUUGCAUGGACUCGUAAGUAUCUCCUAAAGAACAGCUUGUAUUGGGAUGCAAAUGAGAAGAAGGGAUCGUGGGUUUGGCACAAACUGCUCAAACUUCGCCCUAUUUCUUAUGAUUGCAUUCGUUAUGAGAUAAGGAAUGGUGAAACCGUGUACUUUUGGUUUGAUAACUGGUUGGAGAUGGGUAAGCUAAUUAAUAUAACCGGUGCGAUAAACAUUAACUACCUUGGAGUGAGCAAGAACGCUACCCUGGAUGAAGUGGCAGGCGAGGAUGGUUGGAACAUCAGCAGAUGUGGCAGAGCAGAUACCCGCUUCUCUUUGAUAAGAUUUCAGAGGUCUACAGGUCAGAUGCAAAUGCGGACCCUGAUAAAGCUUUGUGUAGACAUGAUCAUGACGAUUUCAAACCUAGUUUCUCAGCUUCUAAGACUUUGAACUACUUGCGUAUUAAGAAGACCAACAUUCCGUGGCAUAGACUUGUGUGGUUUCCUCAGGCUAUUCCCCGACAAUCCUUUAUUGUGUGGCUGGCUUUCAAAGAUACAUUAUAUAUUGAAGUAAGACUGAGAGGCUGGGGAAUUGAGCAGGGUUGUGUCUACUGUUGGGGGAGAAUGAUGAAAGCAAAGACCACUUGUAUUUUGCUUGUCCCUAUACUUUCACUGUCUGGAUGAAUGUUGCUGAGAGGCUACUUGAUGCAGCAAUAACACCAGACUGGGAAGAGAGUGUUGCCUCCUUACUGCAUCCGAAUAGGUACAGGUUUGAUACAGUUCUCAUGCAAUUAGUAUUUCAGACUUCUAUCUAUGUGUUGUGGAAGGAGAGGAACUCCAGAAGGCAUGGCAGUACAUGUGCAUCAGUGGAGAGGACUACUAAAAUCACUGGAAACCUGGUCAAAAAUCAAAUUUCUUCACUGAAAUACAGGAGAAAUCACAAGCUGGAGCCUCUGCUAAGGAGAUGGUUUGAUGUCUACACCAUUUAAGACAUAUUAUUUCUUUUAUUCUUUACACUUUAGAUUAGCUUAUCAUCAUCAUGUAAAUCUAAUUUUUAGUUUUGAUCAAUAAAUUUGAAAUUUCAUCAAAAAAAAAAAAUAUGACCAAUAUAAAGAAAUCAACAAAAAUCUUCUUAUAAUAUCCAAUUUAGACAUUAAAAAUGAAUUAGAACGUUGACUAAUCUUAGAUAAUUAAAAAAUUGGUCUUAAAAUUAUAUUACUACUUUACCCUUAAUGAAUGUUAAAAACCAAACUUAAAAUACAGUGGCAUUAUUUGUAAAUAACACAUGAAGUAAAAGUUAAUGGUAUAUGUUAACAAAUACAUGGUUUUUUUGGUCAACAAAUAUGAAUAUCUAAAUUACGUUUCGUAUCACAUUUUAAAAAGGUAAUGAAAUACGUUAUGUGGCAUCGAAAAGAAAAUAAAUGCAAAAGUGAAACGUUAGACAAUUUAUUUCUAAAACCGAAAUUUACCAAAACAUUGAAUUAAAAGGAAAAAGAAAGUAACCCCAAGUGUCAGUUCAAAAAAAAAAAAAAAAGUAACCCCAAGUGAGAUGCAAAUGAAUUGGAAAAUUAAAUGUAUCAACAUAACUUGUAAAGAAGUUUUUGUAUAAGCUGACAGCUUUGAUCUUUUAGAUACAUAUAUUCCCUAGAAAAAGAAACCCUAUAUCAAAUUAUAAAAACUAUGAAUCGCUUCUCGUGCUUUUUGUUUGCCAUUGUAUUGUGCGUUGGAUUGGGUAACUCGAAGCUAUUUGAGAGAAACCUUAUACAGUUCAGAAACUCUCUUGGUCCGGAGAACGUUCUUACGGUGUUUUGUAGAUUGAACGAGCACGGCUAAGGCUACCAUCAUUCAAGGACAAGUUUACGAUCUUCUUUUUUGGGACAGUUUUUUCUCGAACAAGGCUUAUUGCGCAUUAUGGCAGGGAAAUGGCCGUCAAAAGUAUCAUGCAUAUUUUUUGGCAUACAAAACUGGUGGUCUGCAUUUUGAUAAAGAAUUUUUGGGAUUGUAGAGAAGAUGGAAUUUACUUCACACAUGGUAAAGAAAUCCCCAAAUUAGAGAACAGAUGGAUCCCAUUUUAACUGUACUUUCCUAUUAUUACUUAGUUUUUGUAAUGGAUAUUUUUUUUGAGUAAGAAAUUCAAAAAAAAAAUAUGGUGUGAUCAUUGGUGGAUUAUGGAACAUUUAUACUUUUCAAAUAAAUCUUGUCCUCCGUCAAAUUUCCAAUAAAAGAAAAAAAAUGAUAUGAUUGAUUAGUAUAGAUUUAGGGUCUGACUGGUUCAAACGCAGCGGUUGCAGUUGCGGCUGCGGGCGUUUGCGGAUGCGAGUGGUUACGGUUUCUAGCGGUUUUAAAAAAUUUGUACGACUGAUUCUGCGGUUAGAAAUUGGUGCGUUUGCGGAAUACGUAUGACUGGUUAAAUACCAAAUACAGCAGCGGUUAAAUAAUAAAUUAACAAUAUUUAUAUUUUAUAUAAUUAUAAAAAUAUCAAAAAUCAUAAUAUUAUAAUAAAUAUGUAGAUUAUAUUUUCAAAGUUAUAGUGUUAAAUUUUUAAAAUUAUAGAAAAUAUUUUUAUUUUAAAAUUUUAUGAUAUUAAUUAAAAUAUAAUAGAUAUAUUUUAGAAUUUUUAUAAUUCCAUUUUAAAAAAUUUAUUGAAUAUUUUUAUUUUUGUAUUUAUAUGGUUUUAAAAAAAAAGAAAAAAAAUUAUCCUCCCACAAUCGCCCGCAACCGCAAACGCUAGCUAGAACUAGCUUUUGAAUUUAAGAGGUUCGAAGCGGUUUGAAGCGAUUUGUAGUGGUUUGUAUGAUUGUUUCGAAACGCUGUCAACUGCUACUAAUCGCAAAAGCUGUGUUUGCGGCUGGUAGCAGGGAAACCAGUCAAAGCUCUUAGUUUAUAUAUACGCAGCCAUGUGAUGAGCACAAAGCGAACUAUUUUUUCGCCUUUUACAAAAAAAAAAUUACUUUAUAUAUAAGAAUUGUUUUUCCUAUGAAAUAAUACCACAUCAAUUCCUUACUUUGAGUUCCAUAACUAACACCGAUCUUAAGAUAAGACAUGUGUAUUUACAUGAUGCUUUGCAGAAAAUCAAUGUUUUUAAAACCGAUUCAGCACUGAACUAGACUAUUUUCUGGGUCAAUGGGUUAUUAGAUCAACUGUGGGUAAACUAUAGGACAAUAAUUUUAUAUAUAAUUAUAAAUAUUUUCUGAAAAUUACAAGAUAAAUUCAUUUUUGUUAAAAAUAUAAUAGAGUAUUUAAAAAUAUUUUCUAUAUGUUUAAAUUUAUUUUACAUAUAAAAUAUCAAACAAAUGAUUUAAAAUAUUUAACAAAAUUUAUGUAACAAUUUAGAUUUAGAGCAUAUUAAAAAGAUAUAACAAGUUUAAAACUAGGAAGUAUUUAAAUUUCUAAUGUAGAUAACAAAAUUAAAUUUUAAAUCUAAAAGGUAUCUACGGAAAGGGAUUCUCGGGUUACUACGGAAAGGCGUAAGAGCAUCUCCAAUGUAUUACUCCAUUUUUUACUCCAAAAUGGUGCAACACCAAAAUGGAGUAAGGUUUUACUCCAAUGUAUUACUCCAUUUUCUACUCCAAAAAUAAUAUUUCUUAAAGAUUUCAUUUUUAUUUUAUUCAUAAUUGCAAAUAAAAUCUUAUACUUAUAAAAAUUUACCAAUUAACCCCAACUAUUUUAUGUUUACGAUAAAUAAUUAAAAUAUAAAUUAUUUGAAUUAAAUAUUUAUUAUUAAAAAGUACAAGAAAUCAUUAAAAAGACAACAUAUAUGUGGGUUCAACAAUGAGCAUUAGAAUAUUUUUUCCACAAAUGAUCAACUAAUAUAUUUCGUAAUGAAAAUGAGAUUCUUUAUCUUUGAUAUUCCUAAAUCGAGCAAGAAAAUUUUGAAAUCAGACAUUUUCAUCUUCUGCAAUUUUGAUACUCGGAUGUGGAGCUUCUCUUCCAAGUUCAAUUGGUGCAUCGAGUUCACGCUCAUCUAUACAAGAUCCAAAUGUUCGUGCGUAUAUUCAAACUCAACAAAUACAAAUAAUAUCAAAGCGAAAUGUUGAAUCACAAGAUCAACAAGCUCUUUCUUAGACUUCUCCGUUUGGGCAAUAUUUCACCGACCUUAGCGGAUCCGGAACGGAUUUUCCAGAUUAUUAAAUUUACUUAUUUUAUGUUAUUUUUAUUUUUAUUUUUUCUGUUAUUUUCAUUAUUUAUUUAAAAUUAUUAAAUAAUCCUUUGUGGAAUAUACUAUUUUCAUGUUAAUGUAUCAUUUUAAAUAUUAUUUAAGUAAGAAAUAAAAACAUUAAAGAUUGAAAGGACCAUUUUAUAAAUAAAAAAAGUUCAACUCCAAAAUGGAGUAAUAGGUAAAAUUACUCCAUAAAUGGAGUAACCCUAGCCAUUACUCCAUUUUCAACUCCAAAAUGGAGUGGGGUUAGAGAAGAUUUUACUCCAUAAUGAUGUUUGGAGUUGAAAAUGGAGUAGGGUUGGAGAUGCCCUAAGAGUCGAGAGAUACACUGUCGAGGAUGAAGAGUCUUCAUACAGAAGAUCAAGAUAUGGAUUAUCAAGAGAUACUAACUAGGCAGGGACGUUUCUCUAGGUCUGAAAGGAGAGAGAGGAGCCCAAGAAAGGUUUUUUGAAGCAGAGAAUCCAGCAAGCAACAGCGACAGCACUCUUCCUCAGAGAGAGGAGGCUUCCGCCAUGAAGGGGACCACUGUGAAGGAGAUUGCUAGCACUGAGAUUGAGACAGACUCAGCUAAGGUAUGUUUAGAACUGGAAAAUGGCUUAGACUUAGUAAAUGAGAGGCUAGAGCAAGGAGUAGAUAGUCUAGAUGAGGAUGGUAUGGAUCUCAAGGAGACAUUAGCCAUGUUAAGGAAAAGAGUGAUGCAGAGGAACUGGCCUUGAGCGAGAAUGAACAGUGAAGAGAGGAACCAGAGGCUGCGAUAAAAAGUUAAGAAGCAGGGGGAAAAGAAGAAACUGUUUAAAACAACAGUCAGUUUGGCAGGUGCCACUACAAAGAAACGCAUGGUGCAGGCCUUUCUGUCUCCUCGUAAAAGAAAUAGAAACAAAGCCAUGGCUUACCCAGGAGAUGGGGUGAAGAAAGCAGAGGAGAAGGGUUCCUCAAACUCAAAGGAGGAUAUACCAAAGCCUUGAAGAUAGUUAAUGGAGUACAACGAUGGAGAAGGACAGUCGGGGCUGCACCCUUUAUUUUUCAAGUUUCAAAUAAGCUCAAAGAGAAAUUUCUGUUUCAGUUUAGUUCUUUAUUUGUGGUAUUGUAUGAGUCCUCAUAAGUUGUAUGAGCUGAUAUUGUUUUAUGCAAUCACAAUGAAUAAGAUGUUUUUUUACUACUGGUGUCUUUGGUUUUAUUUCCUCAUCACUACUAUGAUUGUAUCUGUUAUUCAAGAGGCAGUGGGAUACAAUGAGCUCUCGGUAGACCUCAUUCAUUCUGGUGCUUUCAUCCUUGGUUCAGAACAUAAUCAAGAUGGAUCAUGAUCGCUUGAUAGGAUUGACUACCGCAGGUUUCUUUUACAAGAAUCAGAUCUGGUUUCAUUAGACAAAACAGUAUAUUUUAACGAGGGUACGGGAUAAAGAUUUUGGCUACUGGAAAUACAUGUUUUAAUGGGAACUAGAUUUUGAUCCGCGCUUAGAAAGCGCAUGUUUAUUUUUGAAAUCAAAUAUUUAUUUUCUUAAAUUAAAUAAAUUAUUUUAAAAUGAAUUUCUGUAUAAAAUAGUGUACAUUUAUGAUACAACAUCAAAAUUUAACUAUAUUUCAUAAAUAGCCGAGAAGAUCAUUUUUCUUUAUAACCAAAAACUGAAACCAAACCUAAAACCAAAUGGGUACCUGAAUUUUUGAAAUACAGAUAUAUACCCAGAAAAAAAUAAUUACAUUUAAUUUCUAAUUACAUUUACUUUGCUACUAAACAAAACCAAAAUCCGAAAUUACCUAACUGAAACCAACUAAUCUUUGUAAAUACAUGAAAGGUUUCAAAAUUUCUACAAACAAAAAAAAAGAAUAAAAUACCAAAAUACCCUAACCAAAAUUGAAUAUUGAGGACUAAUAAUGCAUCUACAUUUAAACGGUGUGAAGAAAGCUUUUUUUUUUUUACAAAUUAUUUAACUCUUUUUAGUAGGAUUACAUAUGUAGUUUAUAUACGAAUUAAAAUAUAAUCAAUGUUUCAUAUCCAAUCCAGAUCUAUGGUCACGAACCAGAAAACCCGUUAGCCAUAUAUAAAUUAUAGAAUGACUUAUUUCAUUCAUGGAGCAUUCUGUCAGAUUUUCGAUCAACUUGAUAUGUUUCUAUAAAAAUUGGAUUUAAUGAAAACCUAUUAAUUAAAAUAAGAUAAACCCUAAAAAUCCACCAUUAACUCAUGAACAUACACUGGUUAUCUCACUAAAACCCUAGAAAUCUGAUAUGUUUUUAAAAGAAAAUUAAUUAAACUUCUUAUAUACUUUAGAUAAGUAAAUGCAUUGUAUUUAUGUUAUGUAUUUUAAUAUAGAUUUGUAAUGAUCAAUACUAUUACAGUCUUAAUAUAGAUUAAAAAAAUUGUUUAAAUGCGUACAAUGAGUCUAGGUUUACUAAUAAAACUAAACUCAUGAUUGCUGGAAUGAUUUUCAAUAUUCAUGUUUUGGUUUUAGAAUUUAUCAUUCACAUUCUCGUAUUGGGAUUAAUAAGAGAUGUGAUGGUAAGAAUUUUCUUAAUAUAUUUGAACUAAGAAUUAUCCGGUGAUGGUAAGAAGUGUUUUAAUAUAUUUGAACUAAGAAUUAUCCGGGCUGUAUCGAAUGAUGUUGAGUUUAAAUGAGAUUAUUUAAAUUAGAUAGACUAUAGAACAGUUAAAGAAAUAUAGGGUAGGACCAAAAUAUUGUUAGUUAAUAAAAGGGUGCAACAACCUUAAAUAAGUAGUUUUUUUAGGAAUUCGUCUCUUUUAAUAGUAUUGAUAAUUGAAACAACUGAAUCGCAUCAGAACUGGGGAUGGUCACUUAGGGAUUUCCUCUUAUCCCACAUCAAAAGACAAAACAGGUCAUCCAUUUAUUUUCAGUUCAUAUGGUCGUCACUCACCAUCGUCAACCUUCCAGCAUUUGUUAUUCAACCUUUUUUGGACAACCACUGAGACUUUUGGACUAUGUUUGUACAACAAUUAGGUAACCGAUUGGGCAGAAGCAUGCAACGACAGUUUAAUACGAAUUAUCUCAAUAUGUGGGGAGUUGUAGUUACGUAUAAGUACUACAACAGAUCUUAAUUCAGCUUUCUUUACACCGCGGUGGGAAGGACCAAGUAUCAUCAUUAUCAACAUUUCUGCAAGAACCACAAGUUCUCUGCGGACUGAUCCUCCUUAAAGGGUUGCAUUGUACCCAAUUUUACAGCUCAAAAGAGCACACUUAAAGAUAUUUUUAUAUGAGAGUCAUAAGUUGGAAUUGUAGAGGUAUAGGAAUUAAAUGGACAAUAAGUUAUCUCAAGGAAAUUUGGCACAAACACAAACCCGAAUUUGUUUCUAUAGGAAAUGAAACAAGAUUUUGUUUUCGUUCAAGGGUCCCAAUCUUAUUUUGGUUUCGAGAAUUUGGUCAUAGUGGAUCCAAUUAGGCAAGUGAGGGAGUAGCCAUAUAUUACAAUAAUGAAUACCAAGUUAAUAUUUUGUACACCAACAACCAACAACCGUAUGAUUGAUGUGGAAGCAGUGAUAUUGGGGAAAAAGUUUUUAUUACCUUUGUCUGUGAAGACUCAAUACAAAAGCUAAGCGAUCAUGUAUGUGAAAGAUUGACGAGAUUUGUCGUAGCAAGGACAGACCCAUGGUUUGUUGUUGGGGAUUUAAAUAAAAUUACGGGGAAUCAUGAGAAAGAAGGAUGCUCAUUGAGAAAUGCUGGAUCUUUCAUGAAUUUCAAUAAUAUGAUCAGGAAUUGUGGUUUAUUAGAAUUUACAGCUCGAGGGAACUAGAUGUCUUGGAAAGGAAGAAAAGGGACUAAAAUGAUUAGAUGUCGAUUAGGUCCGGUAUUGGCAAAUGAGGACUGACAUACUUUAUUCCAUGUUCUUUUACUGAAUAUUUAGGAAUGGUUGGAUUUGACCAUCGACCGAUAGUGGCAUUUAUCGAGGAUAAGGUGCACAGAAAGCGGGGACAAUUUCGGUUUGAUAAAAGAUGGAUUGGACAAGAUGGCUUAUUGGAUUCCAUUGGAAAAGGGUGAUUUGAAUCAAGAGGAAGCAAUGAGUCGGAUAUUGUUACUAGAGUAGGAAAUUGUCGUCAUGAAAUUGCUAAGGGGAGAAAAAAAUAAGCCAUCUUAUGGGAAGGAGAAAAUAAGUGAACUUCAAAGAACUUUGGAAGAAGUACAACUAAAUGACACUAAAACUCAGCAGGAACUAAUAGAUGUCAUAAGAAAGUUACAAGAAGCGUAUAAAGAUGAGGAAGAAUAUUGGCAGCAGAAGAAUCUGAAUAUGUGGCACACAUCAGUGGACGUCAACACCAAAUUCUAUCAUGCUUUAAGGAAACAAUGACGAUCUAUAAAUAGGCUUGUGGGUUUACACGAUGAAGGUGGACAAUGGAUAACAGAGGAAAAAGGUGUAUAGAAAAUUUUUGUGGAUUACUUUGAUGAUUGAUUUCGGUCAACUACGCCCUCGGAGUUUGAAAGCUUUCUUGAGGAGAUCCCAUUGAGUAUUACUCUAGAGAUGAACCAAAGAUUGAUUUGCAAUGCGUCAGAGGAGGAAGUAAGACAGGCGCUAUUCAUGAUGCAUCUGGAGAAAGGGCAUGAACCUGAUGGGAUGACAACCUUAUUUUUUUGCCCCUCAUUAAAAAGGACCUUCUGGAUCUGGUGAAUAAUUUCUUGAAAACAGGAAAACUGAAUGCAAGAUUGAAUUCAACAAAUAUAUGCUUUUUACGAAAGACAGGGAGAGAUAUACACGGAUGACUGAAUUGAGGCCGAUAAGUUUUUGCACCGUGGGUUACAAGAUUAUAUCCAAGGCAUUAUGUCAAAGGUUCAAGAGUUUCAGGUUUUUCUUUACAUGACUAUCAUUUUCCACUCAUUUAAAGGUAGAUUUAUAAAAAAAAAAAAAUUCAUUUGGUAACCUCUUGUUGUUUAAAGCUCUUACCUUAUUUUUGAAGUUUUUCUUUGUUUUGAAGCCAUUUGAAUGCUUCUGAAUAUGUAGGUUUUUCAGAUAUGAGACAGACUUGGAAGACUUCCCCUAAGUCUUCUCGGAAGUCUUAUGGUGGAGUCUUCUCCCUUGUCUCCUCUUUCAUAACAAAUCUGAGCGUUUUGGUAUGUCUCCAUCUCUGAUUUUUCUUCAUUUGGUAACCAUUUGUUGCUUAAAGCUCUUACCUUUAGAAAACUCUUUUUGUUUCUUAAAGCUCUUACCUUAUUUUGAAAUUUUCCUAUGUUUUGAAGUCAUUUGAAUGCUUUUGAAUAAUCAGGGUUUUCAGAUCUUAAAAAAUCUUUGGAAGACUUCCAGGAAAGUCUUCUCGAAAGUGUUUUAACAUAUAAUGCACUAGAAGAUUUCCUGGAAGUCUUCUCCGAUGUGUUUUUUCAUAAUAGAUCUGAGCGUUUUAGUAAGUUUCCAUAUCUAAUUUGUCUUCAUUUGGUAGCCACUUGUUGUUUAAAACUCUUACCUUUUUCCAAAUUAUGUUCUGAAUCUUUGAUUUAAUUUCAAAUCUUGAGCUAUCAAAAUGGAGGAGCUGUCUGAUCAUUUGGUAAACAUAUCUGAGUGUGUUGAAGCUGAUGGAAUUUCAAGUUUGAGGUAGACUUCAUGGAAGAUUUUUCCAGGAAGUCUUACAGGAAGACUUCAUGCAUGCGAAGUCUUCCUGGAAGUCUUCUACGAAGUCGUCCACAGAGUCUUCAAAAACCUGAACAUGAGUACUAUCAAAGUUUAUGAUGUGUAUGUCAAGUGGAGUCCAAAGUUAUCUAUGUGGAGGAUUGAUCUCUAACUCCAAGUGUAAUAGUAAUUUAUGGUUUGCUUUGUGAUUUACAAGUGUACUCUUUUAGUUGUAGAUUCUUUUGUAAACUUGAAGAGAUGUUAAUGAAAAUUUGUUAAAUAUGUUCAUGUGUACACUAUUAGAAAAAUUUAGUCAAAUUUACUGAAACUCAGGGAGAUGACUUCUAAAAAAACAUAGUUAAAUUCACAAAGAUCAAAAAUUACAUAAGAUAAGAACAUAUAGCACUUUCACUAUAAGUCUUCUCGGAAGACUUCUGGGAAGUCUUAGGAAGACUUCUGGGAAGUCUUAGGAAGACUUAAAUUUUAAGUGGGAAUUUAAAAUAUAAACGGAAAAUUAAAAUUUAUGCGAGAACUCAUAUUUUAAAUGAAAACUGAAAUUUGAAAUUUUAUGAAAGAUAAAAAUAUAUCUUAUUAU